CUAUGAAUAUUCUUGCUGUUCUUAUUUUGUAAUAAUCAGGACAGACUAAACAUUUGCUAUAAUAAGACUCCACGCAUGUGUCCCCAGACCCAGUUCUUUACUGACAGUUUUAGAAAUGUUGGUGAUGAAU